UCCAAGUUUCAUCCUACAAACGGGGAUACUUAAGAUGCCCAAACAGAUUGUUCACCUGAAAAUUAAAUGAUGAACUAAUAAACAAGAGUACAGCUAAAGCCAGAGAUUCUUGGGCUCCUUAAGGCCUUGUUUAGUUUGCAAAAAUUUUCAAGAUUCUUCGUCACAUCGAAUCUUUGGUCGCAUGCAUGGAGCAUUAAAUAUAGAUAAAAAUAAAAACUAAUUGCACAGUUUACCUGUAAUUUGUGAGAUGAAUCUUUUGAGUCUAGUUACUUCGUGAUUGGACAAUAUUUGUCAAAUAAAAAUGAAAGUACUACAGUGGUCAAAACCAAAAUUUUUUGCGAACUAAACAAGGCGUAAGAUCUCGCUUAGACCCUCUGAACCCAGAACAAAAACAUAUCACCAGAACAAAACCCCACAGCCAGUUCUCUCCAUGCUUCAGCUCAGCUUUGUUCUACACUGCUCACUCACUCACUC
rnacentral:lncRNA from 1 species